AAACUUGAGCCCCUGCCCCUGUAUAAUCAUGUGCACGUCCCUGUUCUAGCUCCAAGGUGAAUCUUCACUGCUCAUGUUGUCCUCAGAAAUAGUCACCUCACUCCCCUCAGGUUACUGUACACAUGCACCAACUAUCUGCUUCAGGUUUGAAAUGGAGCUUCAUGGUUGUCUUUUGGAGAAAUGAACAGUCAAGUUGUGUUUGAAAUUUGAUUUUUUUCAGGGGCAAAAGGAAGCCUCUGCAUUCUUGUCAAAUAUGUAAACAGCAUGUUUUUGCAGGUGCUAAAAAACAGACUCUGAGUGUGUGUGUGUGUGUGUGUGUGUGUGUGUGUGUGUGUAUGUUGGCGUGUGUGUAUAUGUGUGUGUAUCCUGCAGUACUCUGUACUCCUGCAGUGGCCAAAAAGACUUUUAAGAAUGUGGAUUUUUGGGUCAGCUUUGGCGCCCCUAGAACUGCAGUACUCUGUACUCCUGCAGUGGCCAAAAUGACUUUUAAGAAUGUGGAUUUUUGGGUCAUCUUUGGCGCCCCCUAGAACGUAAACCGUGGGGUGCAGCGUCAUGAUUUUUACAACUUUGAAUGGGCAUGGGGUGUAGAUUGCCCUGAGCAAAUUUGGUAUCGGUGGGACGAAAGCCUUAGGAGGAGAUAGCCACAUUCCAAUGUGUGCGAAUCGGCAAAAAAUGCAAAAUAGCCCUUUAACCGUACAUUAUACAGAUACGCGCUCUUUGACUUUUUCGUAGAUCUAAUUGAGAUACACAUGAUUGUCAAUUUUUGUGUCAAUAUGACAAAGCGUUCAGGCGUGACACUCAACAAUGUGUAUUUUUAUGUAAGGGGACAAGAAAAAAUUGACUUUUUUCUCCUACCAUGGGGGGGCGCUCUUUUGGGGAGUAAAAAUUCCUUCACAAAUGUGUUGAUGGCUGGACAUUGCAUCAUCCUAGAAAACUUGGAGGCCAGUGAGGACAAAAAAAAAAAUUUAUAAAACUUUUAAGAAUGUGGAUUUUUGGGUUGUUUUGGCGCCCCCUAGAACCUAAACCAUGGGGUGCAGCAUUAUGAUUUGUACAACUUUGAAUGGCCAUGGAGUGUAGAUUGGCCUGAGCAAAUGUGGUGCCGGUGGAACGAAAGCCUUCGGAGGAGUUAGCGAAAUUCCAAUGUGUGCGGAUCUGCAAAAAAUGCAAAAUAACCCUUUAACCGUACAUUUGACAGAUACGCCCGCACUGACUUUUUUGUAGAUCUUAUUGAGAUACAUGUGUGUGUCAAUUUUUGUGUCAAUAUGACAAAGCGUACAGGCGUGACAGUCAAUAGUGUGAAUUUUCACCUUAGGGGGCGCUAUGGAGCCAUUUUGCAUUUUCUUGUUUGGGCGACUUCAGAAUAUCGAAUUUUUCACCAGGCCCGGUCGUCCUGCCAAAUUUCAUGAGUUUUCGCCAGUGGGAAGUGGGCCAUUUUCCAGUUUAAAGCGGAGGAAAAAUAAUAACUAGGGCCCCGUUGGGGCACUGGCGGGCCCGAGCCGUGUCGCGCCGCCCCCAGCGCAACCGCCUACCCCUCCCAAUGGCGUCACACUCAAGGUCCAAAGAUGGUGUGCGCACUUGUCUGUGGUCAUUUACCAUUAUAAUGAAUGGGAGGCGCAGUUUCUACCAAAACGCUCGCUGCAGACAAACUCCAUGUCCUUUUUGAAAAAAGUCUGGACCAUGAGUGAGGGCACAAACACAGCUAGUAUAUAUCCAAAUGGCAAGGUGCUCCUCCUUUCGGUUUUGCCGAGAGAGCGAUGCGUUUGAGCCAUUGAGCGAUGGGCAGGAAAAACUUGACUUUUUCUCCUGCCAUGGGGGGGCGCUCUUUUGGGGAGAAAAAAUUCCUUCACAAAUGUGUUGAUGACUGAACAUUGCAUCAUCCUAGAAAACUUGGAGGCCAGUGAGGACAAAAAUAAAGUUAUAAGACUUUUAAAAAUUUGGAUAUUUGGGUCCUCUUUGGCGCCCCCUAGAACGUAAACCGUGGGGUGCAGCGUCAUGAUUUUUACAACUUUGAAUGGCCAUGGGGUGUAGAUUGGCCUGAGCAAAUUUGGUGUCAGUGGAACGAAAGCCUUAGGAGGAGUUAGCCACAUUCCAAUGUGUGCGAAUCGGCAAAAAAUGCGAAAUAGCCCUUUAACCGUACAUUUUACAGAUACGUGCACAUUGACUUUUUCGUAGAUCUUAUUGAGAUACACGUGAUUGUCAAAUUUUGUGUCAAUAUGACAAAGCG